UAACAUCCCUGAUGUCCCUUCAAAGGACGUUUAGUUGCACUGGGAUGUGAAAGAAAAAUAUCCCUGCGCUUUCUGUCUGUCUUUGUGGCGGCCCAGAUUGAAUAAGGGACUACAUCU
ensembl:snoRNA